rnacentral:rRNA from 1 species
CAGUCGCCACGGGAAUACGGAGGGUGCAAGCGUUAAUCGGAAUUACUGGGCGUAAAGCGCACGCAGGCAGUUUGUUAAGUCAGAUGUGAAAUCCCCGAGCUUAACUUGGGAACUGCAUUUGAAACUGGCAGGCUAGAGUCUUGUAGAGGGGGGUAGAAUUCCAGGUGUAGCGGUGAAAUGCGUAGAGAUCUGGAGGAAUACCGGUGGCGAAGGCGGCCCCCUGGACAAAGACUGACGCUCAGGUGCGAAAGCGUGGGGAGCAAACAGGAUUAGAUACCCCUGUAGUCCCUGUCUCUUAUAU